rnacentral:lncRNA from 1 species
AUCAAGUUGGGCGUGUCUAUUGAUUAGAGGGCCUUUAGUUCUCCUAUGGGAUGUCUCUUGGGUGUAUUUUGGGGUGUUUAAUUAUGGGUGCAACGGCUCUAAUUGUUGGCACCUAAAGGAUCUCCUAAAGUAAGUUGGAUAACUUAAGUUAAUAGGAAACCCAAUGAAAGUAGGACUUGUAUUAUGUGAUUGAAUAGAAUUCAAUCUCUGUGCCUAUUUAAAGGGAGCUCCCCUAAGGUCCCUUGAGCAUCCAAACC